GAUGAACGCUGGCGGCGUGCCUAAUACAUGCAAGUCGAGCGAACAGAUGAGGAGCUUGCUCCUCUGACGUUAGCGGCGGACGGGUGAGUAACACGUGGAUAACCUACCUAUAAGACUGGGAUAACUUCGGGAAACCGGAGCUAAUACCGGAUAAUAUAUUGAACCGCAUGGUUCAAUAGUGAAAGACGGUUUUGCUGUCACUUAUAGAUGGAUCCGCGCCGCAUUAGCUAGUUGGUAAGGUAACGGCUUACCAAGGCAACGAUGCGUAGCCGACCUGAGAGGGUGAUCGGCCACACUGGAACUGAGACACGGUCCAGACUCCUACGGGAGGCAGCCGUAGGGAAUCUUCCGCAAUGGGCGAAAGCCUGACGGAGCAACGCGGCGUGAGUGAUGAAGGUCUUCGGAUCGUAAAACUCUGUUAUGAGGGAAGAACAAAUGUGUAAGUAACUAUGCACGUCUUGACGGUACCUAAUCAGAAAGCCACGGCUAACUACGUG
rnacentral:rRNA from 1 species